AUUGAACGCUGGCGGCAGGCCUAACACAUGCAAGUCGAACGAGUGGCGGACGCGUGAGUAAUGUCUGGGAAACUGCCUGCGGGAGGGGGAUAACUACUGGAAACGGUAGCUCAUACCGCAUACCCUCAGAUGUGCCCAGAUGGGGUUAGCGAGUAGGUGGGGUAACGGCUCACCUAGGCGACGCUCCCUAGCUGGUCUGAGAGGAUGACCAGCCACACUGGAACUGAGACACGGUCCAGACUCCUACGGGAGGCAGCAGUGGGGAAUAUUGCACAAUGGGCGCAAGCCUGAUGCAGCCAUGCCGCGUGUAUGAAGAAGGCCUUCGGGUUGUAAAGUACUUUCAGCGGGGAGGCGUUACCCGCAGAAGAAGCACCGGCUAACUCCGUGCCAGCAGCCGCGGUAAUUC
rnacentral:rRNA from 1 species